GGAGACCUCCCAGAGGAGGCUGGCCUGCUCUGGCACCUGUGCGAGGGCCUGUAUGUGUGCAAGAGACAGCGAGAGAAUGAGAUAAUCUGUUUUUAAAGGGGCAGGCGCGUAAUCACUUUUAUUUAUAAUGGUUCCAACCUGGAAACGACCCAAGUGCCCAUCAAUGGUAGAACGGUUAAACUGUAGCAUAUUCAUGAUGGAAUCUACCCAGCAAUAAGAAAAGAAACUAUUGGUACACAGUGACAUGGAUGAGUCCAUCCAAUAUUAUGUUGCAUGAAAGAAGCCAGACCAAAGAGUGCAUGCUGUAGAAUUCCAGAGAGAUGGAGUUCAAGAACAGACACAAUUGAUGAUGAAGUCAGCAUAGAGGUCCCCAGCUGGGGGCUACAUGGACUAGGAAGGGGCAGGAGGCAGCUUUAUGUGAUGCGGAGAAUGUUCUCUAUCUGCUUUGAGUGGUGGUUAUACAGUUGUGUACAUAUUUAAACAAUCAUCAAGCUGUAUACUUAAAAUGAGUGUAAAAAUCCUUGGAAAGAACAUGCAUGCUUAUUUUCAUUUUUUGCAGACUGCACCCCCACACAGGCUGGAACUAUUGGUACCAUGUUGCAGUGACCAAGACAUCACUCUACCUAAUGACAUCGCAUGUGUCGCUGUUUGUUCUGUCCCGACUUCUGCACCACAUCCUCCUAUCCCUACUACUCCAGGCCCUUAGGUCUUUUUCUCAGACCUAGAAAAGGCCACAACCUCAUCACAUCUAGACUGCUGGCCCAGCCUUCAGUCCCGCAGCUCCAUUCCAUCUGUAAAGGCAUCGGAUUCCUCUGCUCAGACUCCUUCAAGGGCACCCCCAUCCACUACCAACUGCAGCCAAACUCCUCAGCUUCACGAUCUGGCCCCUGUGCUCUUGCCAAUUUGAAACUGGAAAGUGGCCUGGCUGUUUCACUUGCAUGUCCUUGAUUGUGAUGGCUGGACAGUUUUUCACACAUACACUGGCCAUUUCUAUCUCUUUGGUAACUUGCCUGUGCACUACUUUGCUCAUUUUCAUACUGAACAUUCAUAUUUUCUUAUCGAUUUACAAAAGCUUUUAAUAUUAUUGAUCCUGUGUCAUUUAUAUACCUCAAAUAUUUUUCUCAAGUGUGUUGAUUGGCUUUUACUUUUGUUUAUGGUCUUUAUUGAUAUACUAGAGUUUUAAAUUAUGCCGCCGUAAAAUCGGAUUUUGUUAUUAUGCUUAGGAAAUCUCUCCCUACCCAGAGAUUAUAAACAGUUACAUAUGUUUUCUUUCGAUACUUGUGAUUUCCUUUUUUUAAAAUUCCAGAAUAUUUUUUAGAAUUAAGGGCUUUAAACAAAUAGCCCUAAUACCAUAGACUGACAAUGACUUGGUAGUAUUAAAUACUUUAGGCUGUAUGAUUUCCUUUUUCCUUUUGGAUUUUUUUUUGUUUGUUUGUUUUUAGAAACAGGGUCUCACUAUGUUGCCCAGGCCGGUCAGAAAGUGCUAGGCUCAAAUGAUCCACCCACCUCAACCUCCCAAAGUGCUGGGAUUAUAGGCCUGAACCAUUGCAUCUGGCCUACAUUUGGAUUUUUUUUUUCUUUUUUUUUUUGGAAACGGAGUAUCGCUCUGUCGCCCAGGCUGGAGUACAAUGGUGCGAUCUCAGCUCACUGCAGUCACUGCAAUCUCUGCCUCCUGGG
rnacentral:lncRNA from 1 species